GGAGCGGUGGCAGAGUCCGGUUGAUCGCAGUCGCCUUGAAAGCGACCGGCCCGCAAGGGCCCGGGGGUUCGAAUCCCUCCCGCUCCG
rnacentral:tRNA from 1 species